rnacentral:rRNA from 1 species
UACGUAGGGUGCGAGCGUUGUCCGGAAUUAUUGGGCGUAAAGGGCUCGUAGGCGGUUUGUCGCGUCGGGAGUGAAAACCCAGGGCUUAACUCUGGGCUUGCUUUCGAUACGGGCAGACUAGAGGUAUGCAGGGGAGAACGGAAUUCCUGGUGUAGCGGUGAAAUGCGCAGAUAUCAGGAGGAACACCGAUGGCGAAGGCAGCUCGCUGGGACGGUACUGACGCUGAGACGCGAAAGCGUGGGGAGCGAACAGG